rnacentral:lncRNA from 1 species
AACCCUAAGCUUUUUACUUUGUGUGAGUUGAUCAUGGACAGAUUUCUUCUUAAGGAAAUCACUGGAGAGACAUCAGCAAAUGACAUCAAGUCUGUCUCAUCUCCUGUCAUUCUUAAGGUGUUUUCUUCUUGGUUACUUGCAGUUAACUGGUCUUCCGCAUAGAUCAUCCAUGGGUUAGACCUGGGUCAGCUUUUUAGACUUAGAUAGGAGAAGGGCCUGCAGGAAGAUGAGACAAGGCUACGUUUCCAAAUUCACCACUGGUACCCAUGUGAGUGCAUCUAGAGAGAGAACACCUCACCCAAGAAGUAUGGUACAGACCUGGCCAAUAAUGGACAUCUCCACCUAUGUUCAGGAAAGACUUUUUUCUGGCUUUUUCCUACCAUUUCCAGAUGGUAAAAUAUCUCUAGUGCUGUGACAUAUUUAUUAUGACCCAAUCGUCUUGUCAAAUUCAUUGGUGGAUAAUUCCUAGAAAUCAGGGAAAGUCACCAAGUUGUAUUUACCUUUCCUUGACUGGUGGUAUUUCUAUCUUUGAUUCUUAGUACAGAGAAAGCAUGGAAUGAAGAGAAGUGAGUGUUCCUAUUGCUAGAAUCAUUUCAGAGGUGCACUACUAGGUACUUCGGGGAGUUCAAUUAAAAAAAGUUGAUGGAUCAAUAUGGAAGAAAAGGUAGAAGGUUAUUUGUAGUUAGGUACAUAUUAAGAAAUUGUACUUCCCUGAAUGAUGAGAGGAAUGAUGAUUAAAGGAAGAGGUGGAAUUUCCCGAAAUGGUGAAAUUCAUCUCUCAUCUGCCUUCCCCUUCUUUCCCCAUCCUGGCCCAUAGCACCAAGUCACUAGAAUUUAGGCAGCAUGUGGAAAAAGAAGUCCAUCUCUAAGGCAGAGUUGACUCGUUCAGCUUUCUCCUGUAUGGAGCAGUGGUGAUUCAUGCCUUCCUCCGCUGUCACACUGUCAGCAUCCGCUAAUCAUAGCCCCGUGAUCACAGGACUUGGGCACAUAAACAAUUUCCAGGAGGUUCAGAGCAGCCCAGGGACCUCGCAGGCAUAAACACCGGUUAUUCUGUAAUUCAUUACAUGCCCCUCCCCAUCAUCUUGACAUGUGCUUGAAAUAAUAGCUUUCCUUAAAACGUUUGAACAUGUUGGUGGACUAGAUCCUUUCACUGUCCUUGGUACACACAUUGUUGUCUUACUAAGUCUGCUUUUAAAUGGAACUCUUUGGCUGUCCUGCUGAAGCUCAGGGGGCGGGGGGAUGUGUUUCGUGAAGAAUAUCAAGAGGAUACAGUGAUGGGAUUUCAAACACAAAUUGGUUCUUCUUGUGCUUUGCAUGUAUAUGUUGUGAGAGGCGAGAGAGUGAGGCCCUUGAAUGCUAUUGUGAAGCAGACUGCAUAUAUUUGGUGCUUAAAUUUGUAUGUAUUUUUUUACACUAGUAAGUCAGGUCAUUUACCUCCCACUCUUCCUCAAACAGAUGUCUUUAGCAAACUUAAGUUCCUCCAGUCAGUCUGUUUAUUCAGCCUGAGGCAGGAAUCAAUAACUUCUAGUGACACUGACAGGAUUAGUUUCUAUAUUCAAUAAAUAUGUAUUUUUGAUUACCUACUGUGCCAUGCAUAACAAUAGACAUUGGAGAGUUUGCAGUUUCUGUUCCCAUAGGAUCUAGAAUUAAGAAACAUUUAUAUUUGAAACCACGAUUGUCCAGUGCCUACAGUAUCUGUUGGGUUGUUACAAAAAUGGCUGGUAGAUUUUAUAAAGUUUCUUAGUUAUAUUGAACUUCAAACAUAGAAGAAGAAAAUAUUAUCUGGUUCUUAUAUGUCUUAGCUGUGUGUCCUCAGUGAUUAGAAAAUGAGAAAGCUGUGUCUGUGUUGGCUCUUCCAGUGUCAAGUGUUAUCUUUACGAGGGAUUCUUAGCUGUAUAAGUUGUGUUUCAAAAUGAAGGCAAAAUUGCUAUACGUCAUCCCAAUAGACUAUGUAGGGAUUAAUGUUAUUCCUUUUUAUAGUCACAGGCUCAGCAUGUUUAGUUGAUUUAUCCAAAAUCAUUUAACUCUGUUGGUAUGGAGUAUAGGUUGCUAGAGCCUGGGUUUGAUCUCGUGAUAUAUUACUUUUACUUUUUCCUUUAUUCAUUAAUGAGAAUAGCAUCAAGUGUAAAGACAGGGCAAAUGUUUUGAUUUAGGAUCAUUUAUGGAACUUGAUGGAAUUUUAACUGUGCUUCCCAUAUCACGCACAUGAAUCAAACUCUAAUAUAAUACCUAUGAGAAACAUCAGGCAGAAGAAUUUCUGAGGCAUUUAACUGUGAUUUUAGAAGUCAUUAUUUUUCCCUGAUUAUGCCUCCCCCCACCCCAUGUUCUGGGACCCACUCAUAGUUUUAACAAUACCUUCAAAAUCUGUUUGUCCUGAAUAGAUGAUUCACACAUACUCAGAUAUGAAAAUAAGGAAAUGUUGAAAUGUAUUAAUUAUUAGCAAUAUACAAAUUUAAAUAAUAGAAUAAUAGAAAAGAAAAUAUCCAAAAUUAAAACUCAGUAAUUAUUCUAAUGAAAUAUCUCUCUUAUUUUCCUGUUGGUAGUUUAAAUUAGGAUAAAUCCAUAGGAAAAUAGUUUGGCGCCAUCAGGAGCCAGCAAAAUGCUCUUUGACCUCAUAAUCCCCUUUCUGGGAAUCUAUCCUAAGGAGCAAUCCAAACUAUGGAGAAAGCUACACCCCUGAAACAGCAGAAACCGCAUAUGUGCCUAACAACAGGGGCAUAGUCAAUUAAUUCUCUCUCUCUUUUUUUUUUUUUUGCUGGAUAGAAUGAAUGACCGUUAAAAAGACCAGUGUAGUGACAUGAUACAGUUACUGACAAUGCAAAAUUAAAAUACAUACAAAUUUGUCUUAUAAUUACAAAUAGAAAAGCAGAUGCACAGGGAAAAUAUAAAAAAUAAAAAAGCUAGAGGAAACUUACCCUAAUACCAAGAGAAGUUUAGCUAGGGUCAUGGGACUUCUUGGUGGUUUUUUCUUUUUCUAUUUUCCAAAAUUUCAGUCAUGUUAUUUAUAUUACUUUUAUUCAAAUUCUUAAUAAAAAUAUGUCUAAUUGAGUUGUUCUCCACAGCUGUGUUGAAGCUGGCCGGUGGGUUUGGAAGUGAGUGGGAGGAAAGGGGUGGAGUUAGAGCCAGCAAGCAGAACCUGCCACAGAGAGGCCUGGCCUGUCCUCUUCACACAGCUGCCCACGGAGAGGGCCAGUUCCUGAGGGAAGUAUGUCUGCCAAAGCUCUGUAAAGACAUUUGUUAGCCGAAACUCUCACAAAGGUGACCUUUAUUCAUGUGCUUCUUCAUCUGAAAUACUGGAAUAAGAGGAUUUGUCCGAGUUCCUGGCAGCCUUGUUGCCAAGGCAAUGGUGGUAAUGCACAUGAACUUGCAUUGCGUGCCCUGUACCCCACUCUCUGUUAGUUGCUCUUGUUGUAAAAUAAUCCCAAUGGUAACAUUUGAAUCUUGGCU